rfam:Hypholoma sublateritium FD-334 SS-4 unplaced genomic scaffold scaffold_146, whole genome shotgun sequence.
GGGCACAUGGUGUAGUUGGUUAUCACGCUCGCUUAGCACAAAUGUCGUAGUGAUUUGCGAGAGGUGUUGGGUUCAAUUCCCAAUGCGUCCA